GGGAUCCCGCGGAUGCCAAGCUGCGCAAGAGGGAUCUAGCGCUCAAGGGAGCCGAUGAGACGCGUGCGGCGGUCCAGGGGACCUAGCUAAGGCGAGGCGUCUGAGGGAAUCUGGCACUCGAGUGGCUGCCUCCAGGUCAGUUCGCUCAUCUUCCCUUCCCUUCUCUCUUAGGUCCUGAAGGCGGCAGCCGCAACGAGUCGGCGAUGCCUCCGCUGAGGUUGCGGCAAUGGAACCCGCGCCAGGUGGUGCUGGGCCGUGCGAGUGUGCGGCAUGGGCCGCUGGCCUUGGGACAUAUCCACAUCCAUAGCUCUGGCGGCAACGGCGGCGGUAGCGGAUGACGUCUCAUCCAUAGCUUCUAAUUUAAUCCUCCUCUCUUUUUCUUGCAUAGGGUACUCUUGUUGGGUAACCUGUUCUUCUCGAUGGUGCUCCAGCAACUGCAUAAUUCAGGCUGGAGGUGAUUGAGGGUACUGUACACGAGGACAUGUGUAUGGGAACAACAAUACACCAGGCCCCCCCUAUAUUUCUUUUCUUUUCAUGUACGAUUCCUUUUUCCACAAAACAAUUUCUUUGCCCUGACAUACUGCCAAUCCAAUUUGUACAUACAGGUAAUGUUGUUGGCGAUGGUCAAUUGAUUUGAGCAUAUUUGGAGACUAGUGGGCGCGGCUGUACUGCCGAGUCACCACCGGAGAGAGGAUCCCAGAGGAGAUGGGCAGAUGCUCCAGAGGAUUUUGUAAAAACACCAACUUCCUCUUCAUCUAGCUGAUCUUUUCUCGAAAACUUGAGUGACUGGACUUAUGCACUUGUCCCUUAGAGUCAAUGGUCACAUCCUCUUGCGUAUUCAGGCCAGCUCUUCUUUCACCCAAUAUGCCUAUUUCCAAAUAUUCACGUCCUUGGUUCUCUCCCAUCUGACCUGUGACUAAAACUAAAAUUAAUAUGUGCAACUAACAAUGGGGCAUCUCAUGAGAAUGGAGUUGAAACAAUCGAUGUACUGAUGGACAUGUUAUUUUUUUAUUGCGUAUUUGUAUAGUUUGGACCUCCAUCCUGAACAGAUCAACAAUACGAAUGGUGUACUAAUGCCAUUUAACCUUUUUUGUGUCAGGUCAGUUGAUUUUGUACCUNN
rnacentral:lncRNA from 1 species